rnacentral:pre_miRNA from 1 species
CGGGGGAGGCCACAUCCUGGGCUGUGUCCCGUGUGCCCUCUGCUCCAAGGCCUGUGCUGUGGAUUCACGCUCCCAGCCGGGCAGCCGUCU